UACGUAGGGCGCAAGCGUUAUCCGGAAUUAUUGGGCGUAAAGAGCUCGUAGGCGGUUUGUCGCGUCUGCCGUGAAAGUCCGGGGCUCAACUCCGGAUCUGCGGUGGGUACGGGCAGACUAGAGUGAUGUAGGGGAGACUGGAAUUCCUGGUGUAGCGGUGAAAGGCGCAGAUAUCAGGAGGAACACCGAUGGCGAAGGCAGGUCUCUGGGCAUUAACUGACGCUGAGGAGCGAAAGCAUGGGGAGCGAACAGG
rnacentral:rRNA from 1 species